rnacentral:rRNA from 1 species
GAGGACGGGUCCGCGUCCCAUCAGCUAGUUGGUGAGGUAAUGGCUACACCAAGGCGAAGACGGGUAGCUGGUCUGAGAGGAUGAUCAGCCACACUGGAACUGAGACACGGUCCAGACUCCUACGGGAGGCAGCAGUGGGGAAUAUUGCGCAAUGGGCGAAAGCCUGACGCAGCCACGCCGCGUGAGCGAUGAAGGUCUUCGGAUCGUAAAGCUCUGUGGGGGGAGAAGAAGAAAGUCGGUGAAGAGCCGGCCCUGACGGUAUCCCCUUAGCAAGCACCGGCUAACUCCGUGCCAGCAGCCGCGGUAAUACGGAGGGUGCAAACGUUGCUCGGAAUCAUUGGGCGUAAAGCGCGCGUAGGCGGCUGAACAAGUUGGAUGUGAAAGCCCUGGGCUCAACCUAGGAUGUGCAUUCAAAACUGUUCGGCUUGAGUCUCGGAGGGGGUCAGAGAAUUCUCGGUGUAGAGGUGAAAUUCGUAGAUAUCGGG